rnacentral:rRNA from 1 species
UACGUAGGGUCCGAGCGUUGUCCGGAAUUAUUGGGCGUAAAGGGCUCGUAGGCGGUUUGUCGCGUCGGGCGUGAAAACCUACAGCUUAACUGUGGGCUUGCUUUCGAUACGGGCAGACUUGAGGCAUGCAGGGGAGAACGGAAUUCCUGGUGUAGCGGUGAAAUGCGCAGAUAUCAGGAGGAGCACCAAUAGCGAAGGCAGCUCGCUGGGACGUUACUGACACUGAGGCGCGAAAGCGUGGGGAGCGAACAGG